GACUUUAUUAUAUUUUGAGUAUAUUUAAUUGCAAAUUAAAAGGUUUGAGUCUUU
rnacentral:tRNA from 1 species